UCUAGUUAAUUUUGCUAGUAGUUAUAUACUUAUCUUAAAGAUUAAGUUAUAUAUAUCUAAGUAUAAGUAAUUAUAUAGUGAAACUGUGAAUAGCUUAUUAUAUAAAUUAUUGUUUAUUUAAUAGUAUCUUACUAUUUAGAUAAUUGUGGUAAUUCUAGAGCUAAUAUAUACUAAAAAUUCUAAUUUUGGAAGGGAUAUAUUUAUUAGAUUAAAAACUAAUACCUUUCGGAACUUACUAGUGAUUUAUAAUAACUUCUUAAAUUAUAUAGUUUUAUGCUGGCGAUAGUUUAUUUAAAUUUCUUCCCUAUUAACUUUCGAUACUAGAGUAGUAUUUUAGUAUAAUUAUAAUAGGUAAUAGAGGGUUAGAGCUUAAUUUUAAAGAAGGAGCUUGAGAAAUAGUUACUAUAUCUAAGGAAGAUAGUAGGUAUGUAAAUUACUUAAUCCUAACACAGAGAGGUAGUGAUAAUAAAUACUAAUAUAGGAUUCUUUUAGGUUUUGUAAUUAGAAUAAGUAUAAUUUAAAUUUCUUAAUGAGGAAUAAUUAGAAGGUAAGUCUGGUGCUAGUAGUUAUGGUAAUUCCAGCUCUAAUAGUGUAUAUUAAAGUUAUUAUGGUUAAAAAGCUUGUAGUAGAACCUUAAGUCUGGCUGGCUGGUCUGCCUUACUGUGUGUAUUAGUCUAACUGGGUUUUUCCCUCUGUGGAACUGUAUACUCUUUACUAGGUAUACUGGGGAAAUAGAACUUUUAUUUUAAAAAAAUUAGAAUGCUCCAGGCAGAUCUAUAUUUAAAUAUAUUAGUAUAGAAUAAUAGAAUAGGAUAUGUAAUUCUAUUUUGUUAGUUUUUAGGAUUACUAUAAUAAUUAAUAGGGAUAGUUAGGGGUAUUAGUAUUUAAUUAUUAGAGGUGAAAUUCUUAGAUUUAUUAAAAACUAACUACUGCGAAAGUAUUUACUAAAGAUAUUUUUAUUUAUUAGGAAUGAAAGUUAGGAGAUUAAAAACAAUUAGAUACUGUUGUAAUCUUAACUAUAAACUAUAUUAACUAGGGAUCAGACGAUAUUAUUUUUUAACUUAUUUAGCAUCUUACGAGAAAUUAAAGUGUUUAGGCUCUAGGGGGAGUAUAGUUGUAAGGUUGAAACUUAAAGAAAUUGACGGAAAGGUACUACUAAAGGUAAAUAGUAGCUGUUUAAGCUUUGCUUCAGACAGUAAGCCUAUAAAGGGUCCAGUGGCUAGCUCUGAAUUGCUAGUUACCCCAGUAGUGGCGAUAUCUCCUAAUUGCGGGAAACCCUCAGAGAGUAGCAUUCCCAAGUAGCGCUCGAAAGAGACGCUAUAGUAGUAACGUAACGGCUGCUAGUAUGGAGAUAACAUACUACUUAUGAGGUAACUUACAGCUAAGCUUCUAACUAUAAAGAAGGUUUAGAGACUCGAUAGGGAUAGGUAGCGCCCCCAGGCGCCGCCUAAGAUAGAGUUUAUACUUAUUUGAGAGAGUGGAGACUAACUAGUAUAUUACCUGAAAAGGGAGCCUGCAGCUUAAUUUAACUUAAUAUAGGGAAACUCACUAGAUCCAGAUAUAAUAAGGAUUAACAGAUUAAGAGCUUUUUCUUAAUUUUAUAGAUAAUAGUGUAUAGCUAUUUUUAGUUAGUAGAGUAAUUUAUCUACUUAAUUGCGAUAAUGAAUGAGAUCUUAACCUGCUAAAUAGCCUAUAUUACUUUAGCAGUAUACUAACUUCUUAGAGGGAUUAUCAGUUUAAACUGAUAGAAGUUUAAGGUAAUAACAGGUUAACUUUCACAAG
rnacentral:rRNA from 1 species